GCUUACGGCCAUACCAGCCUGAAUACGCCCGAUCUCGUCUGAUCUCGGAAGCUAAACAGGGUCGGGCCUGGUUAGUACUUGGAUGGGCGACCUCCUGGGAAUACCAGGUGCUGUAAGCA
ensembl:rRNA 5S_rRNA 5S ribosomal RNA